UGCCAGCAGCCGCGGUAAUACGGAGGAUCCAAGCGUUAUCCGGAAUCAUUGGGUUUAAAGGGUCCGCAGGCUGUUUUUUAAGUCAGAGGUGAAAUCCUACAGCUCAACUGUAGAACUGCCUUUGAUACUGGAAAACUUGAGUUAUUGUGAAGUGGUUAGAAUGUGUGGUGUAGCGGUGAACUGCAUAGAUAUUACACAGAAUACCGAUUGCGAAGGCAGAUUACUAACAAUAUACUGACGCUGAGGGACGAAAGCAUGGGUAGCGAAGAGGAUUAGAUA
rnacentral:rRNA from 1 species